UCCGUAGGUGAACCUGCGGAAGGAUCAUUAGUGAAUUGAAUAUGUUAGCGGACCUCUUCGGAGUCCCUAGCAUCAAAUCAUAUCCAUAACACCUGUGAACUGUAAGGCUGUCUUGAAAACGAAAGUGAUUAGAGCGCCUGCCCAUUUUAUACAAACAUUAAAGUAACAAACGUAGUCUUAUUAUAAUCUAAUAAAACUUUCAACAACGGAUCUCUUGGCUCUCGCAUCGAUGAAGAACGCAGCGAAAUGCGAUAAGUAAUGUGAAUUGCAGAAUUCAGUGAAUCAUCGAAUCUUUGAACGCACCUUGCGCUCUUUGGUAUUCCGAAGAGCAUGCCUGUUUGAGUGUCAUGAAAAUAUCAACCUUGACUUGGGUUUAGUGCUCUUGUCUUGGCUUGGAUUUGGCUGUUUGCCGCUCGAAAGAGUCGGCUCAGCUUAAAAGUAUUAGCUGGAUCUGUCUUUGAGACUUGGUUUGACUUGGCGUAAUAAGUUAUUUCGCUGAGGACAAUCUUCGGAUUGGCCGAGUUUCUGGGACGUUUGUCCGCUUUCUAAUACAAGUUCUAGCUUGCUAGACAUGACUUUUUUAUUAUCUGGCCUCAAAUCAGGUAGGACUACCCGCUGAACUUAAGCAUAUCAAUAAGCGGAGGAAAAGAAACUAACAAGGAUUCCCCUAGUAACGGCGAGUGAAGCGGGAAGAGCUCAAAUUUGAAAUCUGGUGGCCUCAGGCUAUCCGAGUUGUAAUCUAUAGAAACAUUUUCCGCGUUGGCCCAUGUACAAGUCUCUUGGAAUAGAGCGUCAUAGAGGGUGAGAAUCCCGUCCUUGACAUGGACUACCAGUGCUUUGUGAUAUGUUUUCAACGAGUCGAGUUGUUUGGGAAUGCAGCUCAAAAUGGGUGGUAAAUUCCAUCUAAAGCUAAAUAUUGGCGAGAGACCGAUAGCGAACAAGUACCGUGAGGGAAAGAUGAAAAGCACUUUGGAAAGAGAGUUAAACAGUAUGUGAAAUUGUUGAAAGGGAAACGCUUGAAGU
rnacentral:sRNA from 1 species